rnacentral:rRNA from 1 species
UGAAUACGAGACGCUAAGGCGUCGAAGUAGUGUAUGUCAUACUUCCAAGAAAAGCUUGCACUGUCAUAAGUAAAAAAUGCCUGUACCAUAACCGACACAGGUGGGUAGGUAGAGUAUACUAAGGGGCGCGAGAUAACUCUCUCUAAGGAACUCGGCAAAAUAACUCCGUAACUUCGGGAGAAGGAGUACCUUAUUCUAUAAGGUUGCAAUAACAAGAUCCAAGCAACUGUUUAUCAGAAACACAGGUCUCCGCUAAGUCGUAAGACGAUGUAUGGGGGCUGACGCCUGCCCAGUGCCAGAAGGUUAAAGAAGUCGGUUAGCAUUAGCGAAGCUGGUAACUGAAGCCCUGGUGAACGGCGGCCGUAACUAUAACGGUCCUAAGGUAGCGAAAUUCCUUGUCGGGUAAGUUCCGACCCGCACGAAAGGCGUAAUGAUUUGGAUACUGUCUCGGAGAGGGGCUCGGUGAAAUAGACUUGUCUGUGAAGAUGCGGACUACCUGCACCAGGACAGAAAGACCCUAUGAAGCUUUACUGUAACUUGAAAUUGAAAUUGGACUUUAUUCGCGCAGUAUAGGUGGGAGGUGUUGAUUAUAAUCUUGCGGGAUUAUUGGAGCCAUCAGUGAGAUACCACUCUUGUAAUGUUAGAUUUCUAACUUUGAAUCAUUAUCUGGUCAAAGGACAGUUUCAGGCGGGCAGUUUGACUGGGGCGGUCGCCUCCCAAACGGUAACGGAGGCGUACAAAGGUUUCCUCUGAACGGGUAGAAAUCGUAUCUAGAGUGUAUGCAUAAGGAAGCUUGACUGUGAGACCUACAAGUCGAACAGGGACGAAAGUCGGUCUUAGUGAUCUGACGGUACUGAGUGGAAAGGCCGUCACUCAACGGAUAAAAGUUACUCUAAGGAUAACAGGCUGAUCUCCCCCAAGAGUUCACAUCGACGGGGAGGUUUGGCACCUCGAUGUCGGCUCAUCGCAUCCUGGGGCGGUAGUACGUCCCAAGGGUUGGGCUGUUCGCCCAUGAAAGCGGUACGCGAGCUGGGUUCAGAACGUCGUGAGACAGUUCGGUCCAUAUCCGGUGUAGGCGUUAGAAUAUUGAGAGGAGCCUUCUUUAGUACGAGAGGACCGAGAAGGACAUACCUCUGGUGUACCAGUUAUCGUGCCAACGGUAAACGCUGGGUAGCUAUGUAUGGAGUGGAUAACCGCUGAAAGCAUCUAAGUGGGAAGCCCACCUCAAGAUAAG